rnacentral:rRNA from 1 species
CCCUUAGAUGUUCUGGGCCGCACGCGCGCUACACUGACGAUGGCAACGAGUUUUUCCUUCGCCGAAAGGUGUGGGUAAUCUUUUGAAACAUCGUCGUGCUGGGGAUAGAUCAUUGCAAUUUUUGAUCUUGAACGAGGAAUUCCUAGUAAGCGCGAGUCAUCAGCUCGCGUUGAUUACGUCCCUGCCCUUUGUACACACCGCCCGUCGCUACUACUGAUUGAAUGGUUUAGUGAGGACUCCUGAUUGGCGCCGCCGCCCCGGCAACGGAGCAGCGGACUGCCGAAAGGUUGUUCAAACUUGAUCAUUUAGAGGAAGUAAAAGUCGUAACA